GAGUCUAUAUUUAUAGCCCUCAAUCUGCGUAGUGGCCAAUAAAAAAAGCCAGACCGAUGUAACAUCUCAACAUUCUCCUCCCAGACUUAUUCACGGAUUCAUGCGCCAAAUAAUCAACAUCAUUUCAUCAUUUGCCGGAAGCAAAGUUUAUACAUCUCUGUAUCAUUUAGUUGGCUCAAACUGGACUUCUUUCAGCAACCACAGAGUGCAACAGAGGAGAAGGAUUGCCCAAUCUGGGAAACACUUCUGGUAUUCAGCACACGAAUUUAUUAGACGAGGCACGGCAUGUAGCAUUGCUGAACUUGGCAUGAUCCUGUGCUCUGGUUACUGUCUGUGUGACAUUUUGCUCAUGAUGUCCUCUGUCUCUGUGGGGUUUGUACAGUUUCUCCUCUUUCCUCUCCAUCUCCCACAAACAAUGCAGAUGAAUAAUAAAUGGACACUUUAGUUAAGUAGACACUUACCAAUAACAAUUAAUGUACAAAUUGGCUAGCUUACAUCAAUCGGUACUUUUACAUACAAAUAAAUAACCCCUCUGUCAUUGGAUAGAAAUACGUCAGUGUAAACACCUCAAUCGAUCUAGAAGAAGAAGAGAAGAGAUUUUGUUGUGAUUGUAGAUCUGAAAUAAACUGAAUAGGACACCAACAGUUUUCUCAACUGAAUAAAAAAAUAUUGUCUAUGUUUAUUUAGGCAUUACUUUUGUGUAGAUAUUUUGCUCUAAUAUAUGUAUUACACAUGUAAACAAAUAUUUCAAUCAGAUUGCAGUGUUUAUGGUUAAUUCAGAAAUCUACCUUGGUGUCAAAUUCAUGAAUUUUGAUUGAUGAA